CGAGGCUCAGGCAGGACCAAGAGUGGGUCAAGAACACAGAGGAUCAGUGGUGUGAAAAGCACAGAGAUCCCGAGCUUUCCAAAGCACUGGGUGCCUCAUGCUCACGCGCCACAGGCGUAGGAGCCUCUCUAGGACAAGCCCCGUGGUGUCUGAAGAAAGGGCUGGGGUGGAAUUGGAAUUUAGGAAGAUCACUUCUGAUAGUGAUGUGCAGAGAUUAGGCCGGGGAGCCCAAGCCCAGACGUAAGGACAUCAGGAAAAGGCCUUGUAAGAGUCUGAGCAAAAGAUGGUGAAAGCCCGGCCAGGGAUAGCCAUGAUGGGAAAGGAGGGAUAGAGGAUGGACCAGGAAAUCAGGAAGAUGACUUCUGCCACGGUACAGAUCAGCCCAGAUAGAAUUGGAGGACACCAGGGAAAACACUAACCAAGCUACAGAUAGAAGGCUAAGUCCCUCUCAAGAGCCACUCAAAGUACAGGUUUCUUGUCGAGUAACACGCAAACCGGAAGUGCACUGAGUGUAGCAUCUUCUCAAAGCGAGCACACCUGUGUGAGCAGCUGCAUCCUCCAAAGCCCUCCAUCUGCCCCCUCUGUUCGCUGAUGCCCUGAACCCCAAAAAGUUUGGAACUAGGGAGCUUCCUGUAUCGGAAGCUUCCAACCCCUCACAGCUCCUCACCCCCAAGCCUUCUUUAGCUCACUAAGCUGCUUUGGUUCAUCUGUUCUUCCGUCUGGUUGUCAUCCUUUGAAUGAACUUGUUUGGAGAGCUCAUGUGCCCUACGCUGUACGCAGGGGGCAGGGAGAGAAUGCAAAGGCAAGCGACACCAGACUUCGAGCUAAAAAGACAGGCAUGCCCAAGGGCAGUUGGCAAACAGUCCGGUGACCGUAAUGACGGAGUGGUGUGGAGUUUGGGUGGAGAGGGUGUGUGCUUGAACAGUCAGGCGGCAGCACUUAGGAAAAUAAUUGGAACUGUGUGGGCGAGAUCAGCAGGACUUCCAAGUCGGAUGCGAUGGAAGAGCGAGAACUGGCUUUCUCUUUGUUACAUUAUGGACUUCUGUGGAUGAACUUGGUCGCUCACAGCUGAUUGUCAGCGGAAAAGCUGUAGCCCUUGCUUUCAAGAGACCCUAACAAAUCAGAUCAACAGUGCCUCAGCUGAACAGUAGAGGGCGCUGAAGACUUGUGCUUGACGCUAAAAUUACGCACCCCCUCCAGCACGCUACCCCCCACCCACCCACC
rnacentral:lncRNA from 1 species